rnacentral:misc_RNA from 1 species
UCUCCCGUGAGGGAGCAGUCUCGUGUGAUACGUGUAACACACAACGAGGGUUGCGUUCGUUUCCCCACUUAAGGGAACAGCUCAAGCCACGAACUGACGACGGCCAUGCAUCACCUGUCAUACACCCUCGAAGGCUUCCCGGGUUUCCCCGGGCGUGCAGUAUGAUAUCUAGCCUUGGUAAGGUUCCUCGCUUAGCGACGAAUUAAGCCACGCGCUCCACCGCUUGUGCGAGCCCCCGUCUAUUCCUUUGAGUUUUAAGCUUGCGCUCGUACUACCCAGGCGGUCCGCUUAAUGCGUUAGCUUCGUCUCUGAGAGGGUCGAUACUCCCAAAAACCAGCGGACAGCGUUUAGGGCGUGGACUAC